rnacentral:rRNA from 1 species
CCUACGGGUGGCAGCAGUAGGGAAUCUUUCACAAUGGGCGAAAGCCUGAUGGAGCAACGCCGCGUGCAGGAUGAAGGCCUUCGGGUUGUAAACUGCUUUUAUAAGAGAGAAAUAUGAAGGUAACUUAUGAAUCAGGAUCGGCUAACAACGGGCCAGCAACCGCGGUCAUACGUGGGAUCAGAGCAUUAUCCGGAGUGACUGGGUGUAAAGAGUUGCGUAGGUGGCAUAAUAAGUAGCUAGUGAAAUCGGGUGGCUCAACCAUUCAGACUAUUAGCUAAACUGUUAAGCUCGAGACCGUUAGGGGGAACUGGAAUUUCUAGUGUAGGGGUGAAAUCCGUAGAUAUUAGGAGGAACACCAAUGGCGUAGGCAGGUUGCUGGGACGGUUCUGACACUAAGGCACGAAAGCGUAGGGAGCAAACGGGAUUAGAUACCCCAGUAGUC